GGAAAGAUAGCUCAGUGGUAGAGCACAUGCUUAGCAUACGCAGGUCCUGAGUUCAAUCCCCAGUAACUCCA
rnacentral:tRNA from 1 species